rnacentral:lncRNA from 1 species
GUAUAUCCGUAUAUAAGUAUAAUGAUGCAAACGAAAACAUAAUUUGUUGUUCGCAUUACAUGAACAUCUUCACAUUAUAAUUCAGCUAAUCAAAUGCAUUCAAAAAUUCAUGUCCAAACAGAAAGGAACAAAAGCAAAGAGAAACAACUCAGCAUCAGUAAGUGUAACACUAUUUGUAACGAAGCUAAAGAAAGAAUGUUAGCACAAGAAAACUUGUUUCUGUAACCAACAUAUUACACCAAGUACUUGUACAGUGUUGAAAGAUGUUAUCACA